ensembl:lincRNA
CCGCCCGCGCCCCGCAGCGCGCCCGACGGCCGGGCGCUGGAAGUUUGGGCCCACGGCGCUCGCCCGCCUGCCCCGGGAUGCACGUGAACUUGGAGAAAGUCGCCGGGCGCGCUGGCGCGGACCUCCGCGGCAGGGCGUGGGCGCCCCCGGCCCCGCGCGCUUUCGUUUUCGCCCCGGACAAAGGUCCCUCGCGGCGCAGGUCGCGGACGUGGAGACCGUGUCCUGCGGGUCACUCUGCGGGUUGGUCCGAUCGUUCAACCCGGGGAAGCCGGAGCGAGAAGAGGACGAGCGGCGCGGUCGGAGGCGCGGUGCGGGACCCGGGGAGUGGGGCCUGGCCGUGCGCUUCGCCCGCGCCGUCCCGGAGCUGUCCCGCCCUGGGAAGAGUUGUGGGAGAUGGCACUGCUUUGCUCUCUGCCCCUGUCGCCGCGUGAAGGGGAGAAUCAUUUUGGAAGCCAGGACUCGGACCGAUGGGCCAGGGCCUGUGCAGCCGUGGGUGCGAGGGCCGUGCGGGCUGCGUCCGAGCGCGAUCCUCCGGCAAGGGCAGAGCUGCCGACCAGCGCGCCCCAGGCUCGGUCGGGUUCAAGGCGACACUUGAGGAUGGUACCAUCCUCGGCUAUGGUGACCCCCACCCAAGGUGUGAGCCUGGGAGCGGCCGGCCUCCUCCGCCGGACCAACUCGGUGACGAGCCUGCUGUCGCUGGUGGCCUUCGGUGCGGACCCACUGUGUGCCUGCCAGGCUCUCGGGAACUCCACAUUUGUGUGCUCAGACAGACAUCAGCUUUGGAUGAACGUGGCUGAGCACCUCCGGGAAACUGGACGCCUGUCGUGGCCUUCGAAGACGCUCCAGCACCACGUGGCCGGUCCUUGCCCCGUGUCUGGCUGGCAGGGCAGCCCAGGAGGUGAGCGGCCCGGCCGGGAGGGGAACAUGGACUGGUCUCGGGUGACCCCAGCACCAGUCCUUCCUUGCAGGCCGCAGCUGGCAGCCAGCUGGGCCCACCUUGCCCAGACUCCCCAGGGGUGCCCGCCUCACCACCAGGAGCUGGGGAGUAGAGCAGCUGACUGCUGUCUGCUGUGAUCCCGCCAAGCCCCGCACCUGCCCUGUGGGCACAGCCGUGGCCCUGGCCAGAAUCCUCAAAGCAGACAGAAUCAGGGAGGCUGCCUGCCCCCUCCCCCCCGGGGUUGCUGCUGCAGAGGCUCCCCUGAGACCACUCUGCGCUGUCAGUGCCCGCAGCCCCCAGACCCCCUCCCACAAGCUGUCUGGCCCGACAGGCUUCUCUGGAGCCCUUAGUCUCGGUUUACCCUUCUGUAAGACUUGGGCAGGAAUACCUCCUAGCAGAGUUUGGGAGUGCAGAGUGAACCCCAGCGCACCCAUGGCUUCAGCAAGGAGGCUGGGGGUGGAAACCAGUCUUUGCAGGGGUUUAUGAUCCACUGAAGGGCUUCCCUGUGGCUCAGACGGUAAAGAAUCUGCCUGCAAUGCAGGCGACCUGGGUUCGAUCCCUGACUCAGGAAUGUCCCCUGGAAGAGGGCAUGGCAACCCAUUCCAGGAUUCUUGCUUGGAGA